rnacentral:rRNA from 1 species
GAUCAUGGCUCAGGACGAACGCUGGCGGCGCGCCUAACACAUGCAAGUCGAACGGGACUGCGAGAAGCUUGCUUUUUGCAGUCCAGUGGCGGACGGGUGAGUAACACGUGAGCAACCUGCCUCUAAGUGGGGAAUAACGGCUGGAAACGGUCGCUAAUACCGCAUAAUAUAGCGGGGUCGCAUGACCUUGCUAUCAAAGAUUUAUCGCUUAGAGAUGGGCUCGCGUCCGAUUAG